rnacentral:rRNA from 1 species
AGAGUUUGAUCCUGGCUCAGGACGAACGCUGGCGGCGCGCUUAACACAUGCAAGUCGAGCGAGAACCAGUCCUUCGGGACUGGGGACAGCGGCGAACGGGUGAGUAACACGUGGGUAAUCUGCCCUCGAUUCUGGGAUAGCCCGGGGAAACCCGGAUUAAUACCGGAUAGCCUCUCGAGCUUUCGAGCUUGUGAGAAAAGGUAGCUUCGGCCUCCGAUCGAGGAUGAGCCCGCGGCGGAUUAGCUUGUUGGUGGGGUAAUGGCCUACCAAGGCGACGAUCCGUAGCUGGUCUGAGAGGACGAUCAGCCACACUGGGACUGAGACACGGCCCAGACUCCUACGGGAGGCAGCAGUGGGGAAUCUUGCGCAAUGGGCGAAAGCCUGACGCAGCGACGCCGCGUGGGGGAAGAAGGCCUUCGGGUUGUAAACCUCUUUCAGCAGGGACGAAGCCACUCGGGUUAAUAGCCCAGAGGGUGACGGUACCUGCAGAAGAAGCCCCGGCUAACUACGUGCCAGCAGCCGCGGUA